UCCUACGGGAGGCAGCAGUGAGGAAUAUUGGUCAAUGGUCGGGAGACUGAACCAGCCAAGCCGCGUGAGGGAUGAAGGUACAGAGUAUCGUAAACCUCUUUUGUCAGGGAACAAAGGCGGGGACGUGUCCCCGGAUGAGUGUACCUGAAGAAAAAGCAUCGGCUAACUCCGUGCCAGCAGCCGCGAUAAUACGGAGGAUGCGAGCGUUAUCCGGAUUUAUUGGGUUUAAAGGGUGCGCAGGCGGUCUGUUAAGUCAGCGGUCAAAGCCCGGGGCUCAACCCCGGCCCGCCGUUGAAACUGGCAGG
rnacentral:rRNA from 1 species